rnacentral:rRNA from 1 species
CAUACGGACGCAAACACGUCUCUGGCGCCCAUCACUAUAUCCAUACCAACCCCUGUGCACUGUGAUGACGAAUGUCAUCGAACAAAAAAAACUCGUAUGGUUGAAUGUACGUGAAAUUGUAGGUAUAGCCUACGAACUAUACACAACUUUCGACAACGGAUCUCUUGGUUCUCCCAUCGAUGAAGAACGCAGCGAAACGCGAUAGGUAAUGUGAAUUGCAGAAUUCCGUGAAUCAUCGAAUCUUUGAACGCACCUUGCGCUCCAUGGUAUUCCGUGGAGCAUGCCUGUUUGAGUGCCGCGAAUUCUCCCUCCCCUUACGGUGGCCGAAAGGCCGAAGUAGGGCGGACGGGGUAGGAUGGGUGUUGCUGCCUGGGGAUUGUACCAGGCUCGCCCGAAAUGCAUAAGCGCCAGGACCCUCGCUACCGCUCUCUAGGGAAGAGUGGCUAAGCGACCGCUGAGCAUGGCAUGAUACGUCAUUUGCUGUGUGUGGGCGGCCGGUUGGAGAGGUGUCUGCUUUACCAGCCCUUUUUUAAUUCUGGUCUCAAAU